GCCUUGUUUGACGUGGAUGAUCGCCAAGAACCAAAUCUGAAAAUGUCCAAGUCUUCAAAGCUUCAAAACUCCAAAGUUGAGCUCUCAAUCCAGCAGAGUUUCGCCUCAAAAAGUUCCCACCUCCAAAACAAUGAGCCACCAAGCCUAUUUAUAGGCAUUUAGAACCAGAUCUGGGCUCAGAUCUGGGCCCAGCCCAGGUGGCUCGGCCACCUUAGGUCGACUGUUUUCGUCAAAAGUUAUUUUCAUGUAGAUUCCAUGAAACUUAAUUUUGUUAACAGCGAAAUUACAAACAAAAAAAUAGCAAAUUACAACUCUCUUGGAAUAAAUAACACAAAAGUGCGUUAUCGAAUCUGUUUUGUGGAACUUUGCCUGUGUCGGGGGGGGGAACGCUUUGGUCGUGGACCGCCGAAUCACAAGAAAUCGUGAAGAGGGAGUUUUACUUGAUUUCUGACUUCGUUUAUUCGAAGUGAGAAAUUGAAACGAUAUCUUAUCGAAGUAAGGAUAGUCGUUCUUCAUUAAAAUCAAGUCAAAAGCUAAAUUCAAGAGUUGCACGAAACUUAAUCUGCUGUCUCUGGCUCUGGAUUGGCUCGGAAAAUAUGCUCGAUCCUCGUCAGUAGUGACGCCUAGGGGGUAUUUAUAGCUUGGGUUCAUAACUGAAAAAAACUCAGCAAACGACGAAUUAGACUGGCGGACAGUGUUUACUGUCUCACUGGGCGAGACAGGGUUACUGUCUCGCCGCGCGAGACAGGUAAUACUGUCUCGGAAACAGUAACCGAGCAGUUUUCAUUUUAACUGCCCUUACCCACGUUUCAAACUCCGUAUUUGGCAGGUUAUUCACGUUGAUUUUUCGCCCACGAUGUUUCCCACGUCCUUGGCAGUUAAUGACAACGUUGUAGGGCAGUUACAGAGGUGGUUUUGACCAUUUCAACACGUGCUCUGCGGCUUGGCCGAGAAAGUUAAACACUGUCUCGCUGGCGAGGAUAAGUAAACAUGUCUGCGCUGGCGAGGACAGUAAGCCUGUCUCGCUGAGCGAUUGACAAGCAAAAGCCUGGUCUCGCUGUGGCGAGACAGCAAAGCCUGUCCCGCUGGCGAGACAGCAAAUACGUCUCGCCUUCGCGCAGACAGCAAAUAACUGUCUCGCUGGCGAGACAGCAAAGACUGUCUCGCUGGCGAGACACCAAAGUCUGUCUCGCUGGCGAGACAGUUUAUAUCUGUCAGUUUUAAGUGGUUUUCCCUAUGUUUGGAUAUCUAUUAGCAUUUUUUGAUGCCUACAGAUACCCCCUCCAAAGUAUUCUAGACGCAUUCUUUUAUAGAAGAGUCUGGGAUACUUUGGAUAAGAUAGAUUUUACUUAUGAUCCCUUCAAUGCUUGGCUGAGUAGAUCGUGUGGAAGGACUUGUAAAUGGCUUCAAUG
rnacentral:rRNA from 1 species